UAGAUUGUCUAGAACAGAAUUUAUGCACAUGAUAUACACGUCAUGGAUUUUGGUUACUUACAGUAUAUGUACUGGUCCGCGCUCUCAUAUCACAAAUCACAUGUUAGUGAAUUAUCAGUUUAUAUGCUUGUAGAUACUAAUCUUCGACAAUAAUAUAUUUGAACUAAAAAAAAUGUGUAGACAAGGCAAAUUUUGUUCCUCGCAGUGUGUCUCUCUAUGAGUCUUCUUAUAAUAGUGCAUUGCUCCGGAAAAGUUAUCAUAUCACAGCUCGCCUCAUAAAUUGCAGUGGGCAAUUUAUAUCGAGAGGUCUUAAUGCAACUAUUACCAUAAAAUGCGUUCGUUUCGAUAGCUACUGACGAUCCGCUCGUUUAACAGUGUGUAACGGUGUUCGCGAGUUGAAGACGAAAAGGGGUACGUAUUCUUAACGAAAACAAGCUCAACAAUCAACGGUCAUCUUCAGCGUGAAAAAAAAAAAAAUGAGAAAAGGAAAUUAUCUUUUCACUUGCAGUUAUAAUAAACCACCUUUAAAGUAAAACUCGAAUACUUAUUACCCUUGUCACUAUUGUAAAUAACCGCGUAGCUUUUCAAUUGUAUUGUAUGCAA